CGGAGAGGAGCGGUGUGGUAUCGUGUGUCCGGCCUUGGGAUGCUGGUCCCCUGCUCUUACUGGUCUGAGUGAGCCCCAGGAAAACCAAGCUCAAUCCCCAGCCUUGCGUGCUCACCCCCCCCAGGUUUCUGGGGCUUAGAGGGGACAAAAUGUGGCCCACUCGGGCCGCAUGGCCGGACACAGCCCGGGGGAGGCCCACGAGUCCUGUCCUGUGCUCUAUAUUCAGCGUACGUCUGGUAUAUUAUGAACUGAUGUAUAAGAAGGUACUAGGAUUAAGCCUGGCAGAGGACAAAAGGUGACGUGAGAAAGAUUGUGUGUCUCGAAAAAUCAAGGAAGGCUGUGUGAUGCGGCGGAGCCAGGAGUCCUCCAAGCCCUGAGUUACUUCUGAGAACAGGACUGAGCUCUGGAACCUGCUUCAAAUGUUGAAGAUCACGCCCGGAGUUACAGAAUUUGUAGCAAACCUGGCUGUGGCAAAAGAAGUGGCAGCGUCUGCAUUUGAACAUCUGCAGAUUCCUAAAACUUCACCUUUUCCCAUCCGUGGGUCCAAAGCGCUGCUGGAGGUUCUGUCUGCUGCAACCUGUGGACUCAAAUGUCCCUUUAAAACAAGUUACAGCUCUUCUGCUCCCAGCGUCCUCUCUGCUUUUGUUGUGCUCCUAUGGAGCAACCGUACAAGUUGUCAGCUCAUGUGCUGGUUUCCCAGCCAUUUUUUAAAGUGCUGCUGUUUCCGUCUCUGUUUACAUCGUUAAGAAGGAUUCUUAAAAAGAAAACUAAAUAAAGAUGCC
rnacentral:lncRNA from 1 species